UCAGAAAUGAAAGAAGCAAUCUGCUUGGUUGCUAUGGGCAACUCAACAACUAUUCCUCUGCACAGGCUUCUUUUGUGGCAGUAUAAAAUUUCAGCAGCUGCUAGAUUGCCGCCAUGUUCAAUGCAUGCAGAUUGUAGGAUGGGGCUUACAAUAGCAGCAGCAGCUACAGCUAUUGCAAUCUAUCCUUGAUGCAAACUACAUCUGUCUGGACAUUGCUACAGCAUUGCUUCAGUGAUCUAGAAAGCAGGAAUGACUAGGAAACAGAAAAUAAUUAUUUGUUAUUUUCCC